UUAGAUUCAAGGAGACCUAUUAAGAAUAGAUUUCUUGUAGGCUUUGAACGUCAAGGGGAUUAGCACUGCUAUUCCGAUUCAGAGAUAACGUUAAACGACAGGCAUUGCCUAUACAGGUUAACGGCAGGUGAUGACGGGGCAGAGCUGAGGCUAGAGUUCAACUCCUUAUUUUGACUUCCGCUGUAGAACUAGCCCAUAUCUAUCUUUUGUUGAGCCUAAACUAUUGACUCUCAAGUAUUUCGAUUAAUGAAUGUUGGUUAUCUGAAGCAUGACACUAAACUUGUGAUCCUGAAGUUGUUAUGUUUGUGGAUUGAUUCGUAUCACUUGAAUACCUGUCUUUCUUCAUCCAAAGGGGCUAAGCCCGAUUGUUAUCCCGUUUAUUCGGAUUUCACAAGGAUUUUCCCUUGUUCAUUUA